AGACGACGCUUCAUCCGUUCGAUACAGGGUUUUUAGUGAUGCGUAUCGCUCUCAGUCUUCCUAUGUCGCUCCAUACUCUCGAUUCAUCCUAUAUCGCUUCAUGCUCUYGCUUGAUACUCUUGAUUCAGAUUUACACAGCUGCAGUUUCGAAAUGGAAGUCUUUGAAAACCAGGAGACUGCAAAAUUGGGGGGGGAUUGCCCAUUCUCUUUCCUUGWGACGAUUACACCGAAAAGAGUGUUCGAUAUAUCACUAGGUUGAUAUAGAUUUAUGGAUACCGAAGCUUCAAGGGGAAAUUCAAGUUGGAAUGGGUCGARCCGGAGAGCUUCGCUACCCAUAUUACCCAGAGAAAGACGGAAUAUGGAAAUUCCCUGGAACUGGAGCCUUCCAGUGUUAUGACAAUGUGUAAUAAGUGAUAACAUUCUUGUCUAUACAUGCUUUUUGUUGAUAAAGGUUUAUAU